UGAAUGGCUUGACGAGAAAUCAACUGUCUCUUAAUAAUUUUUAAAAUUUAACUUUUGAGUCAAAAGGCUUAAAUUUUUCUUUAGGACGAGAAGACCCUAUAGAGCUUAACAUUUUAUUUUUAUAUAGUUUUUAGUUGAUCUUUCUAUAUUUAAUGAUAAUGUUUUGUUGGGGUGACAUGAAGAAUAAUUAAACUCUUCAUUAUAAAAUCAUUGAUUUAUGUUUAUCAUGAUCCAUAGUUUAUGAUCAUAAGAUUAAGUUACCUUAGGGAUAACAGCGUAAUUGUUUUCGAGAGCUCAUAUCGACAAAGCAGAUUGCGACCUC
rnacentral:rRNA from 1 species